rnacentral:lncRNA from 1 species
CCGCUGUCGGCGCGCGCGAUGAUGUGGCCGUCCUGGCCGGAUGCGUUCAGGCCCUCCAGCGCGGCCGUCAGCCGCGAUGCGCCAGGCCUCAGGAACUUCGGAUCCUGCACAACACUCCCAGCAGUUUACUCUUCAUGAAAAAGGACAAUCCUGCCAUGGCAUUCUUGAGGCAGCCCCACCAUCAAACAUAUGUGCAAGAGCGAAGUGUCGGGAGAGACGCACGAUGGUGACGGUGUAGAGGGGCGCCGAGGGCAGCUGCUGGAGCAGGCUGCCGCUGCGGCCGCUGCUGCUGGCGGGACGGCUGCUUAGCGGGGGCCGGCCGCUAUACCUGGGAGUGGGUGAAACAGGCUCGCUGUUCGCAUCGUGCCUGCCAUUCGACACUGUAAGCACACCAACAACAAUCAGCUUCAACCCUCCACCCUUACAAUAGACUUACACAGGCAUGAUAAUAGAGGCAC